GACGAACGCUGGCGGCGUGCUUAACACAUGCAAGUCGAACGGAAAGGCCCUGCUUUUGUGGGGUGCUCGAGUGGCGAACGGGUGAGUAACACGUGAGUAACCUGCCCUUGACUUUGGGAUAACUUCAGGAAACUGGGGCUAAUACCGGAUAGGAGCUCCUGCUGCAUGGUGGGGGUUGGAAAGUUUCGGCGGUUGGGGAUGGACUCGCGGCUUAUCAGCUUGUUGGUGGGGUAGUGGCUUACCAAGGCUUUGACGGGUAGCCGGCCUGAGAGGGUGACCGGCCUCAUUGGGACUAGGAUACGGCCCAGACUCCUACGGGAGGCAGCAGUGGGGAAUAUUGCACAAUGGGCGGAAGCCUGAUGCAGCAACGCCGCGUGCGGGAUGACGGCCUUCGGGUUGUAAACCGCUUUCGCCUGUGACGAAGCGUGAGUGUCGGUAAUGGGUAAAGAAGCACCGGCUAACUACGUG
rnacentral:rRNA from 1 species